GACGAACGCUGGCGGCGUGCUUAACACAUGCAAGUCGAACGGAAAGGCCCUGCUUUUGUGGGGUGCUCGAGUGGCGAACGGGUGAGUAACACGUGAGUAACCUGCCCUUGACUUUGGGAUAACUUCAGGAAACUGGGGCUAAUACCGGAUAGGAGCUCCUGCUGCUUGGUGGGGGUUGGAAAGUUUCGGCGGUUGGGGAUGGACUCGCGGCUUAUCAGCUUGUUGGAGGGGUAGUGGCUUACCAAGGCUUUGACGGGUAGCCGGCCUGAGAGGGUGACCGGCCACAUUGGGACUGAGAUACGGCCCAGACUCCUACGGGAGGCAGCAGUGGGGAAUAUUGCACAAUGGGCGGAAGCCUGAUGCAGCAACGCCGCGUGCGGGAUGACGGCCUUCGGGUUGUAAACCGCUUUCGCCUGUGACGAAGCGUGAGUGACGGUAAUGGGUAAAGAAGCACCGGCUAACUACGUG
rnacentral:rRNA from 1 species